rnacentral:lncRNA from 1 species
CGCCACCAUAAAUGAAAAAUAGAUACAAGACAAAAGACAACGUGUCAUGUCUCAACCACGCAUCCAAAUACUAUCCCUCAAUAAUUAAUUUGCUACGUACGUACAGUAUAAACCAUUCAUACAUACACAUAUACAGAAAAAGGUUCAUACAUACACAUAUACAGCAAAAGGUUGCAUUUAAUACAAAAUACAUUAAAACCAAAUACAAAUGAAAAAAUAUACACUCGCAAAUGUCUACGUCUAUUUAUAAACAACAACUGCAAAUACGUACAAACGUAGAAAAUACGCACAAAUUACUUCACAAUAAAAAAAAGGAAAUAACAAAAAAUCCAUGAUAAAUACACAAGGCAGGGAUAGACAUUGAUAAAGAAUAACAAAUAAGUCCUUUUUCUUUUCUUUCAUAACGAUAUAAUCACCCUUCUUUCUUUUUUCACAAACAUAUCACUAACUUUUGCAUCAUCAAUCAUGCCUUUGGCGCCUCCGGC